rnacentral:rRNA from 1 species
GACGAACCGUGCAAACGUUGUUCGGAAUCACUGGGCUUAAAGGGCGCGUAGGCGGGCCAGCCAGUCUGUGGUGAAAGCCUCCAGCUUAACUGGAGAAGUGCCGUGGAUACUGCUGGCCUCGAGGAGGAUAGGGGCAUCUGGAACGGUCGGUGGAGCGGUGAAAUGCGUUGAUAUCGACCGGAACUCCGGUGGCGAAGGCGAGGUGCUGGAUCCUUUCUGACGCUGAUGCGCGAAAGCCAGGGGAGCAAACGGG